CGAAUUCACUAGUGAUUAGAGUUUGAUCCUGGCUCAGGAUGAACGCUAGCGAUAGGCUUAACACAUGCAAGUCGAGGGGCAGCACGGAUAGUAAUAUUUGGUGGCGACCGGCGCACGGGUGAGUAACACGUAUGCGACCUACCCAUAACUGUGGGAUAACCCGUCGAAAGGCGGCCUAAUACCGCAUGACAAUGUCUAACUGCCUGGUUUGACAUUUAAAGAUUAAUCGGUUAUGGAUGGGCAUGCGUUCCAUUAGAUAGUUGGUAGGGUAACGGCCUACCAAGUCUGCGAUGGAUAGGGGUUCUGAGAGGAAGGUCCCCCACACUGGUACUGAGACACGGACCAGACUCCUACGGGAGGCAGCAGUGAGGAAUAUUGGUCAAUGGGCGAGAGCCUGAACCAGCCAAAUCGCGUGAAGGACGAAGGUAUUAUGUAUUGUAAACUUCUUUUGUCAGGGAAUAAAGUG
rnacentral:rRNA from 1 species